AUCCUAGUAGCUCAGUGGUUGGAGUUUCAGUCUCCAACUCUUAAGGUACCUGGUUCGAAUCUCGACAAUGACA